rnacentral:rRNA from 1 species
GACGAACGCUGGCGGCGUGCUUAACACAUGCAAGUCGAACGGUGAAGGGGUCUGCUUUUGUGGGCCCUGGAUGAGUGGCGAACGGGUGAGUAACACGUGAGUAACCUGCCCCCUUCUUCUGGAUAACCGCAUGAAAGUGUGGCUAAUACGGGAUAUUCUGGGUCUGUCGCAUGAUGGGUCUGGGAAAGAUUGCGCCUUUGGGUGUUUUUGGUGGGGGAUGGGCUCGCGGCCUAUCAGCUUGUGGGUGGGGUGAUGGCCUACCAAGGCGGUGACGGGUAGCCGGCCUGAGAGGGUGGACGGUCACACUGGGACUGAGACACGGCCCAGACUCCUACGGGAGGUAGCAGUGGGGAAUAUUGCACAAUGGGCGCAAGCCUGAUGCAGCGACGCCGCGUGAGGGAUGGAGGCCUUCGGGUUGUAAACCUCUUUCGCCAGUGAAGCAGGCCUGCUCCUUGUGGGUGGGUUGACGGUAGCUGGAUAAGAAGCGCCGGCUAACUACGUG